rnacentral:pre_miRNA from 1 species
UGGCUACAAAAUAACUUAUUUUGUAGCCACUUUGAGUUACGAUAAUUAAUAUAUUAAUUUAUAAGAUUAUAGUAACUCCUUACUAAGUGGUUUACUAUAAUAUUACGGUAAAUAUCCCCAUGUGUUAUAGUAACUCAACUAUCGUAAAUAUGUAUACAUAUUAUCGUAAAUUAGUAUAUAAAAUUAUCGUAAAUGGAGGUGGCUACAGAAUAACUUAUUUUGUAGCUA